GUCGCAAGCAACAGUUGCGGAAGUGGAAAAUAGACUGCAAAGCCAAGACUAUGCCCAAACAAUGACUACAUUCUUCCAUAAACUUAAAACCGCCAGUGAUAAUGUAACAGACGUAAUACCGAAGGUUUUCUCAGAUAAGCUCUUCGAAGGAUAUAAUUAGGAUGGCAGAUGGAGCAAGAAUCCCUAUUCAAGUUGGCGCUGGUUGAUACCAUUUUAAAAAAUGUGUUUCAACAACAAGGGUGUAGGAGUUUCGAACAAAAUAUAAAGCGGUCAAUACUGCUCAG